AUGCUUCCUAUCCUACUAGGUAAAGUCGGCAACAUGAGCUUAGCCACAAUACAAACGCGUAGCAUGACGUCUUGUUCAGGUCUAAGUCUUGCUACGCUGGUUAUGAUGGCCACCUUGCUGUUAUUUUUCUUGAAGAAAAAUAAAAAUGCGGUGCCACAGACAGGCCAAUUCCCCCCUGGGCCGGCCACGCUACCCUUCGUCGGUAAUAUGCACCAGAUGAUUUGGAACAAACCGGCGGUGUUCCGGUGGAUCCAUCGUCUGCUCAAGGAGAUGAACACAGACAUCCUGUGCCUUCGUCUUGGAGCGACCCAUGUCAUUGCUGUGACAAGCCCGGAGAUCGCAUGCGAGGUAUUGCGAAAGAAUGAUGAGGUUUUCGCCUCCCGUCCCAUCACCUUUGCCUCUGGCUCAUUUAGCUACGGGUACAAGGGCUCUAUCUUGUCACCACACGGAGAGCAAUGGAAGAAGAUGAGGCGGGUCCUCGCCUCUGAGGUCCUCGCCCCGUCCAUGGAGCAAAAGGUCCAGCACAUCCGAGAGGAGGAGUAUGACCAUCUUGUAAGGUACAUUAACAAAACUUCUUGCUGCAGCUCCGAGGCCAUUGUCGACGUGCGGCAUGUAUCACGACAUUUCUGUGGUGACAUGAUAAGGAGGCUUGUCUUCGGCAAGCGAUACUUCAGCAACCUACCAGCUUCCGCGACCAGCGGUCCUGGGCAUGAUGAGCUGGCACAUGUUGCCGCGCUUUUCACUCUCCUCAACCAUGUAUACAGCUUCUGUGUAUCGGACUAUUUUCCUGCCCUGCAAGGCCUCGACUUGGAGGGCCAUGAGAUGGUUUCCAGGGAUGUAAUGAGAACAAUCAAUCGGUUGCAUGAUCCCAUCAUAGAGGACAGGAUUCGUGAAAGGUCCAAUUCCAUUCAGAGCCGUGCUGAAAAGAAAGAGGCCAGAGACUUUUUGGACGUCCUGGUUUACCUUGAAGAUGCACAAGGACAGCCAUUGUUGUCCCGAGAAGAUAUAAGAGCACAAACAACGGAAAUUAUGUUUGCAAUAAUUGACAACCCAUCCAACGCUGUUGAGUGGGCACUCGCUGAGAUGAUCAACAGGCCGGAGGUCAUGCAAAAAGCAAUUAAUGAACUCGACAUGGUCGUCGGUAAAGAGAGACUAGUCCAGGAGUCUGACAUUUCUCAGCUAAACUAUCUCAAAUCAUGUAUCCGGGAGGCCUUCCGCAUGCAUCCAUACCAUCCUUUUAACCCACCACAUGUUGCCAUGGCGGACACCACGGUGGCAGGCUACACCAUACCUAAGGGUAGCCAUGUCAUAUUAAGCCGGUUUGGACUUGGUCGCAACCCCAAGAUCUGGGUCGAACCACUGGAGUUUCGGCCAGAGAGGCAUCUCAAUGCGGCAAAUGUACUUCUCACUGAACCAGGCCUACGUUUCAUUUCAUUUAGCACUGGGAGGAGGGGUUGUCCAGGGAUCUCACUUGGUACCUCGGUAACAAUGAUGUUGAUUGCAAGGAUGCUGCAGGGAUUCACUUGGACGAAGCCUCCUGGCGUUCACAGUAUCGAUCUCCAGGAGAGCAAAAUUGGCCUUGCUCUAGCUGAACCCCUUGUUUUGCGAGCCAAACCACGUCUGCCUGCACAUCUCUAUGGGCCAAUAGAGUGUAUGUAA
rnacentral:rRNA from 1 species